rnacentral:rRNA from 1 species
AUGAGGGCGCCGCCGCCCUCCCUGCUUCCUCUCCUGCUCGCCACCGCCUUCCUGUCCCCGUCCCCCUCGAUCGCCACCGACAAGUUGGACCAGACCGCGUCCAUCGCCGGCAACCAGACGCUCGAGUCGGCCGGCGGAGUGUUCAGGCUCGGCUUCUUCGUCCCACCCGGCAGCUCCGACGGCAGGGCCUACCUCGGCAUAUGGUACGCCAGCAUCCCGGAGAAGACGGUCGUGUGGGUCGCCAAUCGCCGGAAUCCGGUCGUCAGACCUCCCGGCGUCCUCACUCUCUCUUCCGACGGCCGGCUUGUGAUCCUCGACGGCCGUAACGCCACCGUGUGGUCCUCCGACAACGCUGCCGGCUCGGGCGGCGUAGCCACCCGCGCCACCGCGCAGCUGCUCGACAACGGCGACCUGGUCGUGAGCCACGGCGGGGAAAGUCAAAGUGGAUCGACGACGGGUCGGACCAGCGUGGCGUGGGAGAGUUUCGACUACCCGACGGACACGCUGCUCCCCGGCAUGAAGCUCGGGGUGGACGGCAGGAGCGGCAUCUCCAGGAACAUCACGUCGUGGCGCAGCGCGGCCGACCCCUCGCCGGGGGCCUACACGUUCAAGCUCGUCAGCGGCGGGCUGCCGGAGUUCUUCCUCUUCCGGGGCCUGUCCAAGACGUACGCCAGCGGGCCGUGGAACGGCGCGGAGCUCACCGGCGUGCCCAACCUCAAGUCCAGGGACUUCAUAUUCACGGUCCUGUCCAACCCCGACGAGACCUACUACACCUACUACGUCAGCGACCCGUCGGUGCUGUCGCGCUUCGUCCUCAACGGCACGACGGGGCAGGUGCAGCGCUUCUCGUGGCACCGCGGCGGCGGAGGCGGAGGCGGCUGGAGCGGCUUCUGGCACUUCCCGCUCGACCCGUGCGACAGCUACGCCAGGUGCGGGGCGUUCGGGUACUGCGACGUCGGCCAGUCCCCGCUGUGCAGCUGCCUGCCGGGGUUCCGGCCGCGGUCGCCUCAGCGGUGGAGCCUCGGGGACGGCUCCGGCGGCUGCGUCAGGACGACCAACCUGAGCUGCGGGGCCGGAGACGGGUUCUGGACAGUGAGCCGGAUGAAGCUGCCGGAGGCGACCAGCGCGACGGUGCACGCCGGCGUGACCAUGGACCAGUGCAGGAAGAUGUGCCUCGGCAACUGCAGCUGCAGGGCGUACGCGGCGGCGGACGUCAGCGGGGGCAUCAACCGCGGGUGCGUCAUCUGGGCCGUGGAUCUGAUCGACAUGCGGCAGUACCCGGAGGUCGUGCAGGAUGUGUACAUCCGGCUCGCGCAGUCCGAGGUUGAUGCCUUGACCGCUGCCGCUAACCGGCGAAGCCAUGUCGUGGUUGUGAUCGCCGCCGUGGCGGCUAUCUCCGGCGUGCUUCUUCUGGGGGCCUUUGCCUUUGGCUGUCUUUGUUUCUGGAGAAACAGGGCGGCGCCGGCCGGCAGUCGGGACAACGAGCUUCCAUUAAGGGCCACAAAACUUAAACGCCCACGGGACGAUCAGCGGUUCUCCGAAGAGAACAAGAUGAGCGGCGAGGAAGAUGAUCUUGACCUUCGGGUGUUCGAUCUGGCAGUGAUUCUGGCCGCCACAAACAACUUCGCUGCCGACAGUAAGAUUGGACAAGGUGGAUUUGGCCCUGUCUAUCUGGGAAGGCUUGAGGAUGGGCAAGAAGUGGCUGUGAAGAGGCUGUCAAGGAAAUCAGCACAGGGGGUGGAGGAAUUCAAGAACGAGGUGAAGCUCAUAGCCAAGCUCCAGCACAGGAACCUGGUGAGGCUGCUCGGCUGCUGCAUCGACGGCGACGAGAGGAUGCUCGUCUACGAGUUCAUGCACAACAACAGCCUCGACACCUUCAUAUUUGGUGAUGAAGAAAAGCGCAAGUUACUAAGAUGGAAAACGCGCUUCGAGAUCAUCGCAGGAAUCGCACGGGGCCUGCUCUAUCUCCACGAGGAUUCAAGGCUCCGGAUCAUCCACAGGGAUAUGAAGGCAAGCAACGUGUUGUUGGACAGAAACAUGAUCCCCAAAAUCUCGGACUUUGGCAUUGCGAGGAUGUUCGGUGGUGACCAGACAACCGCAUACACCUUGAAAGUCAUUGGGACAUACGGCUACAUGUCACCAGAGUAUGCCAUGGAUGGCGUGUUCUCCAUGAAAUCCGAUAUCUACAGCUUUGGUGUCAUGGUGCUAGAGAUCGUCACCGGCAAGAAGAAUCGAGGCUUUUACGACGUCGAGCUUGAUCUAAACCUCCUCGGUUAUGCGUGGACGUUGUGGAAGGAAGGCAGAAGCACUGAACUACUUGAUGAGGCGAUGAUGGGCAGUAGCUGUGAUCACAGCCAGGUGCGGAGAUGCAUACAGGUUGCUCUCUUGUGUGUUGACAUGCAUCCUAGGAAUAGGCCACUCAUGUCUUCAGUUGUCAUGAUGUUGGUUGCCGAGAAUGCCACGCUGCCAGAGCCAAAUGAGCCUGGAGGAAACAUCAGAAGGAGCACGUCGGACGGAGAAUUGUCCCAAACUCAAAGUGAGUUGACCGUAACUAUAACGGAUACUCGGUAG